AUUGAACGCUGGCGGCAUGCCUUACACAUGCAAGUCGAACGUGAAAGCGGGGCAACCCGCAAGUAGAGUGGCGGACGGGUGAGUAAUACAUCGGAACGUGUCCAGUAAUGGGGGAUAACCUAGCGAAAGUUAGGCUAAUACCGCAUACGAUCUGCGGAUGAAAGCGGGGGAUGCGGCACUAAAGGCUUUUGGCGAAGGUGGCCAAAGGUGAGUCAAGAGCUUUUAGUGCUGCACCUCGCGUUAUUGGAGCGGCUGAUGUCUGAUUAGCUAGUUGGUGAGGUAAAGGCUUACCAAGGCGACGAUCAGUAGCUGGUCUGAGAGGACGCCAGCCACACUGGGACUGAGACACGGCCCAGACUCC
rnacentral:rRNA from 1 species